AAAUAUUAUAUCAAUGAACCAUCGUUCAUAAAACAUGAAAACAUAUGGGCCGUCAAGGCCUCUGACAUUCUGUACAUAAUAAACAUGUGUCUACAAAGCCUCUAAGAUUAUUUGACAUAAAAUGGGACAGGAUCCCGGCCUACCCAUAAGUAUGUAGCAAAACUCUGACACGAUGACUUAUAUACUCGGCUACACUCCGAAUGAGGUGGAGUCUUACCGAUCCUUCGCUAAAUGUUGACCUCGUCUACCAUGAGGGCUCAUCGAACUGAUUGUCUAUACCUACAGGCAUGAAUGCAGCGUCCCCGAUAAAAGAACAUUAGUAUGAAUAAUGUACCGAGUAUGUAAAGCAAUAUACUGAAAGCUGAAACUAAACUGAUAAUAUAACAACUGCAGGUAGCUGGAAGUCAAAGAUAAUCUGAUGGUAUGCUUACCUGCUGAUGUUGACUCGAUUCUCUCAAUAUAAUAAGUAAAAUAGCUGCCCGGCCCUAUAAAGCUCGAUAAAUAUAUAUAUAUAGCUAUAUAAGUUCUCUGCCGCAGUAGGCUCGCUCGUAGGCGCUCGGCCAUAUUAGGCUCUAUAUCUCGACCAACUGGGCUCGCUCAUAGGCACUCGGCCAUAGUAGGUUCGGUAUAUAACUUACCAUCUGAUCAUAGGUUGCCCAAGGGGCCUGCCCAUCGAUUAUAGCUCGAUGGUAAUAAAAAUACUAUAAUACUGUAUAUAUAGAAUCUACGCUCUCUUCACUGGAAAAAGAAAAUGCUCAAAUGAAUAUGAAGUCCUGAUAAAGAGAACAGUGUAACUUACAAAACUAGAAAAAUAUACGUAAAUUCUGGGAUAUAGAUUUUUCUUUAUGCAUCGUUAUCAAACUCGUGUAAUUACGAGAUCAUGCCAAAAUGAAAAAAAAGGCUUAGCCUUAAAAUACCUGAACCGAUUCUCUAAACAAUCGCUCUAACACCCCGUCUUUUGUGUAUCAUUUUACCAACCAACAAGAGGUCUACUCCAAAAUUCUGUAGUAAGCAACCUUUUUCAUAUUAAAUAUAAGCAUCCAUUUUUGCAAUCAUGUGGUAGUUACGAGCACUUUUCUCACAACUUCAAGGAAUUAUGCUUGGAUAAGCUCUCUAGCUGCUUCAUUCUACUAGAAUAUUAAAUUACCAAACAAAUUAAAAUAAAAUGAAAACCUGCAAGCUUCAAUGCAUCCCACAUCAUUUCCUCAUCUUCAGCUAUUCCAUAGAGGCCCAAAAUAGCAGCUUGAAUGCCAAAUACUCUCCACAACAACUUUCCUGGGUUAUUUUGUCGCAAGAAAUACUUUGGAUGCAUAUACAGCCAAAACCGUACUCGAUGCCAAAGAGGACAUGAAAUACGUUUUGAGCAUAUACAAUCUUCCUAGGGAAGCCAACACUUCUGACAAAGGUAACCCCUACUUCCAAGCACACGGCAUGCAAUUUGUCUAGCUUUUGGAUAAAUAAUUCAAUAGCGUUUACUCAAAAAUAUCUAAUCAGCACCUUCUAUUGCAGAAAUCAAAUGCUACAAAUAGAAACUUUGUUACAUAUAAGAAGACCUACAUAGCAAUUCUUUGAACACUCACCACACUAGGAAUUAAAUUGUCAUAUUUGUUAGAAGAUGCCAAUAUGCCGUUAAACACUGUAGACAAAGUGUAAGUCCACUACCACUAAAUAAAACCCAUAAACAACUUAAUUCACCUAAUUCCCUAAGUGUGACACAUGUGUAAGAGAUUAAGAGACAUCAAAUAUAAAUGGGGUGGCUGCCACGUGGGAGUGGAAAGAAUAUUUAAUCUAUAUCUAACUUACUAGUUAAUUAGAUAAUAUCCCAUUACCCAGUCUCAAAUUACUUAAAAUUCUACUCAUUUUUAACACACUUUAUAUAUAUAUAUCAUGGUCAUGUCCCCUACUAUCAUGGUCAUGUACCAUGUGGUACCUUGUAUGGUACUAGUCUAUAAGUAUCAGGUAUUAUAGUUUGGACCGUAUCUUAUCCCAAAAUGACAAAUUUCGACCAACCUCAUUUUCUUCAACCCGUUUACCCUCUGAUACCACUUUUUUACGCCCCAAACUUAGUGAGGCGUGGCUGGUACUCGGUGUCACUGACCUGAGCGAACCACUCUGUAACUCAUUCAUUCCUUUUAUAACUAUCAUGGGUCAACAUGGCCACAACUCGUAAUGUACAAUUGUAAAUGGUCAAAUGUUAUAUCAAUGAACCAUCGUUCAUAAAACAUGAAUACAUGUGGGUCGUCAAGGACUUUGACAUUCUGUACAUAAUAAAUCUGUGUCUACAAUGCCUCUAAGAUUAUUUGACAUAAAAUGGGACAGGGUACUGGCCUACCCAUAAGCAUGUAGCAAAACUCUGACACGAUGACUUAUAUACUCGGCUACACUCCGAAUGAGGUGGAGUCUUACCGAUCCUUUGCUGAAUACUGACCUCGUCUACUAUGAGGGCUCGUCGAACUGAUUGUCUAUACCUGCAGACAUGAAUGCAACGUCUCCAACAAAAGAACAUCAGUACGAAUAAUGUACCGAGUAUGUAAGGCAAUAUACUGAAAGCUGAAACUAAACUGAUAAUAUAGCAACUGCAGGUAGCUGGAAGUUAAAGAUAAUCUGAUGGUAUGCUUACCUGCUGAUACUGACUCAAUUAUCUCAAUAUAAUAAGUAAAAUAGCUGCCCGGCCCUAUAAGGCUCGGUAAAUAUAUAUAUAGCUAUAUAACUGCUCUACCGUAGCAGGCUCGCUCAUAGGCGCUCGGCCAUACUAGGCUCUGUAUCUCGACCAACUGGAGUCGCUCAUAGGCGCUCGGCCACAGUAGGUUCGGUAUAUAGCUUACCAUCUGAUCAGAGGUUGCUCAAUAGGGGCCUGCCCAUCGAUUAUAGCUCAAUGGUAAUGAAAAUACUAUAAUACUGUAUAUAUAUACUCUACGCUCUCUUGACUGGAAAAAGGAAAUGCUCAAAUGAAUAUGAAGUCCCGAUAAAGAGAAUAGUGUAACUUACAAAACUAGAAAAAUAUAAGUAAAUUCUGGGAUAUGGAUUUUUCUUUAUGCUUCGUUAUCAAACGUGUGUAAUUGCGAGAUCAUGCCAAAAUGAAAAAAGGCUUAGCCUUAACAUACCUAGACCGAUUCUCUUACAAUCGCUCUAACACCCCGUCUUUUGUGUAUCAUUUUACCAACCACAACAAGAGGUCUACUCCAAAAUUCUGUAGUAAGCAACCUUUUUCACAUAAAACAUAAGCAUCCAUUUUUGCAAUCAUGUGGUAGUUACGAGCACUUUUCUGACAACUUCAAGGAAUUAUGCUUGGACAAGCUCUCUAGCUGCUUCAUUAUACUAGAAUAUUAUAUUACCAAACAAAUUAAAAUAAAAUGAAGACCUGCAAGCUUCAAUGCAUCCCACAUCAUUUCCUCAUGUUCAGCUAUUCCAUAUAGGCACAAAGUAGCAGCUUGAAUGCCAAAUACUUGCCACAACAACUUCCCUGGGUUAUUUUGUCGCAAGAAAUCCUUUGGAUGCAUAUACAACCAAAAUCGUACUCGAUGCCAAAGAGGACAUGAAAUAUGUUUUGAGCAUAUACAAUCUUCCGAGGGAAGCCAACACUUCUGGCAAAGGUAACCCUACUUCCAAGCACACGACAUGCAAUUUGUCUAGCUUUUGGAUAAAUAAUUCAAUAGCGUUUACUCAACAACAUCUAAUCAGCACCUUCUAUUGCAGAAAUCAAAUGCUACAUAUUGAAACUUUGUUACAUAUAAGAAGACCCACAUAGCAUUUCUUUGAACACUCACCACACUAGGAAUUACAUUGUCAUAUUUGUUAGAAGAUGCCAAUAUGCCGUUAAACACUGUAGACUAAGUGUAAGUCCACUACCAC
rnacentral:lncRNA from 1 species